rnacentral:rRNA from 1 species
UACGAACCGGACAAACGUUAUUCGGAAUCAUUGGGCUUAAAGGGUGCGCAGGCGGCCGUUCAAGUCGGGUGUGAAAUCCCUCGGCUCAACCGAGGAAUUGCGCCCGAUACUGUUCGGCUAGAGGGAGACAGAGGCGAGCGGAACUGAUGGUGGAGCGGUGAAAUGCGUUGAUAUCAUCAGGAACACCGGUGGCGAAGGCGGCUCGCUGGGUCUCUUCUGACGCUCAUGCACGAAAGCUAGGGUAGCGAACAGG